rnacentral:lncRNA from 1 species
AUGAAUGUGGCAAUGAGACAAGACAUAAGCAUGUGUUUAACUGUUGCCCAACAGUAUUUUUCCUGGAAAGAGGAUGUUUGCUGUGAGCCAGACCUCCUCAUGUCCAUCUCCUUCCAAGCACAUCUGCCCAGCUGUGCCCUGCUUUGCUGCUGCCUCCUCCUGGGGAGACAAGAACAGCUUUCCAUGAAAUGUGACUGUGGAGAGUCGAUCUGGGCUGGACGCCAGGUGCCCACCAAACUGCCCCAGCACUGCCUUUGUCAGCUGGGCACCGAAGAGGGACAAAAUAAAAUGGAAAAUGAUUCAUGGGUCAAGGUAAGGAAAAAAGUAAAAUGGUGCUUACUCAAACAAAGGAAAAAACACAGUGAUUUUAUUCUGCACUUCCCAUUUACAGUGGACCACUUUCCGGGAAGCAGGGACGCAGCACGUGUCACAGUUACUCUGGAAGGCAAACACUGUAAAUAA